GAUGAACGCUGGCGGCGUGCCUAAUACAUGCAAGUCGAGCGACAACACAAUGAGCUUUUGCCUUUACGGUUAGCGAGUGACGGGCGAGUGACAAGUGGAUCACCAUCUACUAAUACGUGGGUAACAUCGUAAAGACACUGCCACUACUACCGCAUACAACCUACGGUUGGGAGCAAGAGAUCAUGACGCCUUUCCUGUUUCUAAUAGAUGGUGUCGCAUUAGCUAGUUGGUAGGGUAAAGGCCCACCAAGGCGACGAUGCGUAGCCGAUCUGAGAGGAUGAUCGGCCACACUGGAACUGAGACACGGUCCAGACUCCUACGGGAGGCAGCAGUAGGGAAUCUUCCACAAUGGGCGCAAGCCUGAUGGAGCAACGCCGCGUGAGUGAAGAAGGCCUUCGGGUCGUAAAGCUCUGUUGUUGGGGAAGAACAACAGUGGAAGUAACUAUCCAUGUUUUGACGGUACCUAAUGAGAAAGCCACGGCUAACUACGUG
rnacentral:rRNA from 1 species